rnacentral:tRNA from 1 species
GGAGGGUGUGCUCAGUGGUAGAGUGUGUGCUUAGCAUGCACAGGAUCCUGGGUUCAAUCCCCAGUACCUCCG